GCCUGGGUGGCUCAGUCAGUUGAGUGUCUGACUUUGGCUCAGGUCAUCAUCUCGUAGUUUGUGAGUUCAAGUCCCGCAUCGGGCU
rnacentral:tRNA from 1 species